UACGGAAGGCAGCAGUGGGGAAUAUUGCACAAUGGGCGAAAGCCUGAUGCAGCUAUGCCGCGUGUAUGAAGAAGGCCUUAGGGUUGUAAAGUACUUUCAUCGGGGAGGAAAAACAAAACUAAUAAUUUUAUUUCUUGACGUUACCCGAAAAAGAAGCACCGGCUAACUCCGUGCCAGCAGCCGCGGUAAUACGGAGGGUGCCAGCGUUAAUCAGAAUUACUGGGCGUAAAGAGCACGUAGGUGGUUUUUUUAAGUCAGAUGUGAAAUCCCUGGGCUUAACCUAGGAACUGCAUUUUGAAACUGAAAUACUAGAGUAUCGUAGAGGGAGGUAGAAUUCUAGGUGUAGCGGUGAAAUGCGUAGAUAUCUGGAGGAAUACCUGUGGCGAAAGCGGCCUCCUAAACGAAUACUGACACUGAGGUGCGAAAGCGUGGGGAGCAAACAGGGAUUAGAUACC
rnacentral:rRNA from 1 species